GACGAACGCUGGCGGCGUGCUUAACACAUGCAAGUCGAACGGAGAAGGAGGGAGCUUGCUCCCUCCGCGUCAGUGGCGCACGGGUGAGUAACACGUGUACAAUCUGCUUCGAACUCUGGGAUAAUCGUGGGAAACGAGGUCUAAUACCGGAGAAGACGCUGCAGGGCAUCGUGCGCUGGUGGAAAGAACUGCGGUUGGGUGUGAGCUCGCGGCAUCUCAGCGUGUUGGUGAGGUAGCGGCUUACCAAGGCGCCGACGGGUAGCCGGCCUGAGAGGGUGACCGGCCACACUGGGACUGAGAUACGGCCCAGACUCCUACGUUACACACCAGUCGGGAAUAUUGCACAAUGGGCGCAAGCCUGAUACAGCAACGCCGCGUGCGGGACGACGGCCUUCGGGUUGUAAACCUCUUUUACCAAUUAAAAAGCUAAAGUGACUGUCCCUGCAAAAAAAUCACCGGCUAACUACUUG
rnacentral:rRNA from 1 species